GCCUUGGUAGCUCAGUGAUUAGAGCACCUGUCAUGAGAUCGGGGCGUCGUGGGUUGGAAUCCUGCUCGGGGCA